rnacentral:lncRNA from 1 species
GGCCUGGCGCGUCCGCCGAGCGCGGGGGUUUGUUUAUUUUCCCGGUUGGUAGCGGCGCUGGCGCUGGUUAGAGGUUCGCCGGUGACGUGAGCGCCCGAGUUGGGGGAGAGGACCAGAACCACCUGCUGGAGAAAGGGAGCUACGGGGGCCGGGCAGGGUCCAAACGCCUCACGUGGGCGGCGGCGCCACGGUCUUCGGGGUCACAGGGAAGAGAAGGGCUCUCCUCAAGCGGGUGGAAGGAGGGAGGCCUCCCGAGGGAAUGAGACUCCAGGCCACUCCCCCGCAGCAAGGCAGGAUCACCUGCGUCGCGGAGAGCAGUUAGAGGUCCCUGGAGUGGAAAAGGGCAGUGGGACCUGGUAGCUUGGGUUCCCUGCAACUUGGGGUUCGACCUCCAGGCAAUGAAGUAGGGAUGGUCCUGCAAGUCAAGAUUCCAGUAGCAAGAGUGCAUCAGAUCUCUGUAAGGAAAAUAACUAACAUUGCUCAGUUCCCUGUAGAGUUGCAGGGCGCUUUGACGUUAUCUCCCUUGGUUCUCCAUCAGGUCGUAGUGGACUAAUUUUACAGGCGAAGUUAAGUGACUUACCCAAAACCUCACAGCUAAUAAACGGCAGAGCCGGCACCCAGCUGUACUGGCUUCCAGCGCAUCCCAUUAUCUCCAUAAAUCCCCCUGAUUCAACUAAUAUUAGACGCCCCACAGAUGACCACAAGCCUCUGGGGUUGGCAGAGCCACAAGAAAGAAGGUGCCUGGAUGAAGGAGAGCUACCCACUGACCUGGACACCCAAUUAUGUCAUAGGUGCUGCAAUCUAGAGACAAAAUAUUCCUUACACUGCCAGAUACUUGCAAACUAAGGGGAACGAGCUUCCCUCUGAAUGUUUAUGAAGGAGAGACCACUGUGUCAUCUGUCUUAGAGCUAUUGGAAUCCUGGAUCAUUGUGGGAAAUGAAAAGAACUGGUUUUUAGCAAGGAGACCAAGAAACUCUACUCCCUAGGGGCUAGCAAUGAGAGAAAGGAAGCCUUGAGUCUUUGAGCACAGGGUGACAGUUUGGGUCCUAUGUGAGAUGAUCAAAUCCACAGCAACAGAGGAAAGGACAAAAGGAAAAGAUACUUCGAUGGAAUCAGCAGCCAUUGAUCCAAUGCCAACUCCAAGACUGGAACGUCGCAAUGAUAGUUCCAAGGCGGAAAUUUGAC